UGUGUUCAUCAGGGUAGAUAUGGAAGAAGCUGGUAGCUGUUUAGGUCCACGGCGUCUAUGCAACAACUUCAACACUACUCCCAUAGAAUAAGACCUCUCAGACUGAGCAGCUGGUAUUGACGUAUUAGCUGAACAGAAGGUGCAAAAGUCAUAUGGACACACAGGUAUACAAAAUGAAGAGUGUGGUGAAGUCAGC